GAAUGUGACGUCCUUCGAGGAGACGAUUCCACAGCGGUUGGCUUCCCUCCUCGUCAUGAGAGCUAAGUGGAGAAAGAAGCGCAUGCGCAGGCUGAAGCGUAAGAGGAGAAAGAUGAGGCAGAGGUCCAAGUAAGCGGUCCCCUCCGCCAUGGCUGUGGCAUCACAUGUUGGCCACAAACAGGCUGGUGAGCGCAGCUGGAGACCCACGACCCCCUCCCCGUGUCCAGGCUUGAGGCCAGUGGCGUUCAUAUCAACCAGAGGCCGGGGAGCAGCAGCAGCCGAUUGAUGCUGGAGAGCUGAUUCAAGUCCUGCUGGAUGACGGGCUGUUCCUCGGGGACAUUGGGACUCUGUUCUUAAUUCCUCAACUUUUGUCAUUCGUUUUUGUUUAUACUGUGAUUAAAGGUUUUGGUUUACUAAA